UACGUAGGGGGCAAGCGUUGUCCGGAAUCAUUGGGCGUAAAGCGCGUGUAGGCGGCCCGGUAAGUCCGCUGUGAAAGUCGGGGGCUCAACCCUCGAAUGCCGGUGGAUACUGUCGGGCUAGAGUGCGGAAGAGGCGAGUGGAAUUCCUGGUGUAGCGGUGAAAUGCGCAGAUAUCAGGAGGAACACCAAUUGCGAAGGCAGCUCGCUGGAACGUAACUGACGCUGAGACGCGAAAGCGUGGGGAGCAAACAGG
rnacentral:rRNA from 1 species